UGCAGGAGUUUAGAAACACAGAUUCUCCCCACUGUCUGAGACCUGCAGCAGCUUUCUUUCAACUGCUGUCAUUUGCAACAAUAAUUGCCUCAGAACGAAGGAGGAGGAGAUUAUGUAUCCUUGAAUGCAGCUCUCUGAAGAGUCCCAGAAGUCUGCUGCUAUUGCUGCUGCUGCUGCUGCUCUCACUUGGCCUUGCUACUGAGGAUUCUUCUCCUAUUCUGGGCCCUCCAGACUCUAACUUUUCCCCUUUACCCAAACUCUGUCAUAGUGACUGUUUGAGUUGAUAGAAUAUUGAUGGUAUGUUAUUUCUAGGGCAUGGAUAAUUCAGAUAUGUGGAAAACUUGAGGAAACUCAUAUUCAGAAGCAUAUAAUAUUGAAAAUAUAAAUAAAGAUAAAUAAAGCCUAUUUUGAUUUAAGCAUUAUGAAAUGUAUGUAUGUAUGGAACAUUAUAUGGUACCCCAUAAAUAUGUAAAAUUUUAAGUUUGUAAUGUAAAGAAUAUGUUAAAAAACAUGUCAGCCAUUCAUUCAUUGGACAUUUAUUGAACAACUAAUGUAUAUGAUACAUUAUGGUAGUCUAUCAUAAGUGUUUAUUGACUAUAUACAUAGCUAAAUGAGCACCUAAAAACAAGUGUGUGCUGUUUCUCUUCAGAUGCCUUGAAAAUAAUAAAACUGAUUUGGGUAGUGGUA